UAGUAAUAAAAAUGAAUCAUUCUGCAUAAUUCAAUUCUCUCUACAAAUGGCUCUUCAAAUGGCUGACAUGCAGACGCUCUUACCGUUUCCCAAUGAGUGGGCGCUGACACUGCACGAUCUUCGUCGUCAGGAUUGAUCGUCAUGGAACUCUGUAGUAACUAGCCCUAUUUAUAAGCUAGUCGGCCGCACGCUAGACUGUCACAAGUAGGCAAAAGCAGACGUGUCAAGAGCCUGGGCAUCCAUUGAAUAAGCGAUCACAGUAGGAUCGGCUAAUGGAACAGAGGAUGCCUCUCAGGAUGAGGACUCAGAUGUAGACAGCAACUGAGCUCACAAAUUAUUAUGUUAUUCGCUUUUUUAUCUUGCAUACAUGUAUCCUGUUAUGUGUUGUUGAUUUGGUGUUGUUGAUUUGGUGUUAAUUGAGUUUGGUGGGCGCUUUUGCACGGUUCAGUAGCCCCAGCCUAAAUGUAGCGGUUCGGUGGUAUCUGUCCAAAAGUGAACGUAUCGGUGUUGGUCUCAGUGAUAUGUUCUCAUUGAUAUGAUUGUUGUUUGAGACCAUGUUGAAGGGAAAGAGUAUUAAGUCUAUCCCUGCUGAAGGAUGCGAUAGUGACAGGAGUGGCAAGGUGUGCCGGCUGUUUACACAACGUACUAGGAUGCAUUUUCGGGCUUUCGAAUCAAGCAUCACAGCCAUCGAUUUCUGAGAUACACAGCCAUUGACACUGCUUCAGCCCAAUACCGUUUUGAGAGGUUUGCGUCCAGCAGCAUCGAUCGGGCAGACUCGACCAGGGUCCUGUUGUUCUGUUGUGGUCUCGUGUCUUAUCCCCUCGUCUCUUCUCGAACGCGUUUGAUGUAUACACCUGUCCUGAGGGCUUCUGCUUGCUUUGCCUUUCAUCAAGGGCUUUCCACUCGAGAAAACUUCAAACACUUGGUCCUUGCUAUUCAAUACAUACACCCAUGUGUACCUAGAUUUGUCGUCCGUGAAUGUCAGAAAGUAUUCUCCUCCUCCAAGGGACUUCUCCUGUAUCUUUCCGCACACAUCUGAGUGGACGACUUCAGUAGUUUGAGUUGUACUGCUCGAAAAGGGGCCGGACCUGUUGCAUCCAUGGACUCAUCAUCGUUGAAUACCAUUUGUGACACACCAUACUUCAUUCAGAUCCAUUGAUAAUAAUGGGACCAGCAUAACAAGCUAAUUAGUACAACCAUGACAUUUAAACGAGCAUGCGCCGUAUAAAAGGCCAGCGCAUAAGAAAAAAAUGGCGACUGUUUGUGAGUCUUUUCUUUCUGACAAACCCUUCAGAAUGAAGUGGUGGCCAGCACUUGUGUGAUCGUCACCAACUCACCCCCGUCCCAACUCACCCCCGUCACCAACUCACCCCAAACCUUCCACUGGGUUGGCAUACCACAGCCAGUUGGUGUUGACCAGUGUCAACUAGGCAACUAGGCAUCAAGGCCAGUGUAGCUGGACAGUACCAGUUUCCUGACAAAUACGCGGGCCACGUGGGCAUUACGCAACAGCUAGGACAAGACUGCUAAUCGUAGAAAACGACCGCGCCACAGUUUUGACUGCUCCUGAAGAGCUCUACAAGAGAGAGUGAGGAAGAAGCUAUCGCCUGCUGGACGUAUCACCUUUCUCGCCAGCUUUCCACUCGAGAAAACUUCAAACACUUGGUCCUUGCUCUUCAAUACAUACACCCAUGUGUACCUAGAUUUGUCGUCCGUGAAUGUCAGAAAGUAUUCUCCUCCUCCAAGGGACUUCUCCUGUGGGACUUCUCCUGUGGGACUUCUCCUGUAUCUUUCCGCACACAUCUGAGUGGACGACUUCAGUAGUUUGAGUUGUACUGCUCGAAAAGGGGCCGGACCUGUUGCAUCCAUGGACUCAUCAUCGUUGAAUACCAUUUGUGACACACCAUACUUCAUUCAGAUCCAUUGAUAAUAUGAUAAUAAUGGGACCAGCAUAACAAGCUAAUUAGUACAACCAUGACAUUUAAACGAGCAUGCGCCGUAUAAAAGGCCAGCGCAUAAGAAAAAAAUGGCGACUGUUUGUGAGUCUUUUCUUUCUGACAAACCCUUCAGAAUGAAGUGGUGGCCAGCACUUGUGUGAUCGUCACCAACUCACCCCCGUCCCAACUCACCCCAAACCUUCCACUGGGUUGGCAUACCCCAGCCAGUUGGUGUUGACCAGUGUCAACUAGGCAUCAAGGCCAGUGUAGCUGGACAGUACCAGUUUCCUGACAAAUACGCGGGCCACGUGGGCAUUACGCAACAGCUAGGACAAGACUGCUAAUCGUAGAAAACGACCGCGGCACAGUUUUGACUGCUCCUGAAGAGCUCUACAAGAGAGAGUGAGGAAGAAGCUAUCGCCUGCUGGACGUAUCACCUUUCUCGCCAUGCUAGACGCGACUAGUGCUGAUGAAGGAACGCCAGAGACAAUGGUGAGUGUAAUAGUAGAUGUACACUAAUAGUAGAUGUACACUACAGUCCUCAUCACUGAGAAGCACUGCUUUGAUGAUUUGAGACAGGGCUGGCGUCAUCGUGCUCGGAGUGUUUGGUUCGAAGUUGUUGGCGACUGGACUCUGUGAUUCAGGUAGUUGUUUUAGCUUGUUUGCGUGAUUGUUUUAUUAGAAAGGGUACUCUUGUCGUCACUGCCGGCACCAGCUAGCUCUGUUUGGAGGACACUUCCUUGUCAAUCAGAAUACAUACAUCGUUCGCUGGACUGGGCACAGUUGGUCAUGCUUACAUCCAGAGAGUCGGCUGUAGAGGCUCUGCCACACUACAGCACUAAGGGACAGCACUAAGGGAGAAUGGGUGAUAACCGACGCUAGGCAUGAUUCCACGGCCAAUGCGUAUCAUACGACUGUGCCUUGCCUUUCAGGAAGCACUCUCUCCCGGACAGAGCACUCGGUAGCUCAGACCGAACUUCAGUGUAUCAAGGGUAUCAAGGGUAAAUGUAACUAAAAUCAUUGUAUACUCUCAGGUCUGAAUGUUAUGUUACUGAGGUUGCUCAGGUUGCUAAGUACGUGACACACACACCCUCAAUCUCAUCAACUCCAUGCAUCGGUACUAAGAACGUCGUCACAGAGGGUCGGGUCAGAGGUGGUUCCCUAAACUCUCUGAUGAACGUAAAUGAAGAUGAUACGUCACUGAUAAAUGUCUGUUCAUAAGAACUGUCCAUGAAGAAGAACUGUGGUGAGGAUCCUAACGUUCUACAGCAGAUGGCUCUCAACAUCCCUAGAGUCCACCAGCUGCUGUCCAAACGUAUCCACUAUUCUGACAAGACUUUUCUCAUGAGAAUGCAACUGGCCGUACUUGAGUAAGAUGAAGAUAACAAGAAUGUGAAUUGUGAAUCGCCAGUAAGAGAAAGGUUAAAGACCUUCGCCGUCCUGACAGGCUCUCGUGAGUGACAGGCUCUCGUGAGUAAGGUACGCUAGUAUGUCGCAAGGAACGGCGUCGAUUUGAGCUCAGCAGUGAGCAAGACUGGUUCACUGAUGGCAUUGUUACCCCCCCCCCUUCUGCCUAGUGAUGAUAUGGAGUCAGAUUCAGAUAGAGAAUAGGUACUCCUCAUCUCCCAAACUUCCGAUACAACCGGUGCCUCUUUGCCUCUUUUCAUCAUUUGCUGGAUGCAUGAGUUCGGAAGUCUAGAGGAAGAGCAAUCACACACGGGCAGUGUGGACAGCAGUCCUGCAGUCCCUGUAAGACGGCAGAGCCCCGUGGAUGACAUGGAGAGAGAGCUGCGGACACAUAAGUUUUAAUAAAAUAUCAUUGAUUAUCAUGUUUAUUUUUUUACUAAUAGGCUGAUCUGGGACGCCUCCCACCUAAGCUUCACCGUCUGCCUGAGUCCUGCCUCCCGGACUACCUUGUUAAUUUUACUAACGACCACUUGUGGUGGAGUGUCUUUAUAUUUUAUGAUGAGAAAUGAUGACAUUUUAUUCUUA